AGGAUGAACGCUGGCGGCGUGCUUAACACAUGCAAGUCGAACGAUGAACCCCGCUUGCGGGGGGAUUAGUGGCGAACGGGUGAGUAACACGUGAGUAACCUGCCCUUAACUCUGGGAUAAGCCUUGGAAACGGGGCCUAAUACUGGAUAUUGACUUUACAUCGCAUGGUGUUUGGUUGAAAGAUUUAUUGGUUUUGGAUGGACUCGCGGCCUAUCAGCUUGUUGGUGAGGUAAUGGCUCACCAAGGCGACGACGGGUAGCCGGCCUGAGAGGGUGACCGGCCACACUGGGACUGAGACACGGCCCAGACUCCGUACGGGAGCAGCAGGUAGGGGAAUAUGCACGAAUGGGACGAAAGCCUAGAUGCAGCGACGCCGCGGUGAGGAUCGGACGGUCCGUUCGGGUUACGUAACCGUCUUACGAGGUAGGAACAGGCCGAGUCGUUGUCGUGGUUGACGGGUACUGCGAAGAAGACG
rnacentral:rRNA from 1 species